AUGAACGCUGGCGGCGUGCCUAAUCCAUGCAAGUCGAGCGAACAGACGAGGAGCUUGCUCCUCUGACGUUAGCGGCGGACGGGUGAGUAACACGUGGAUAACCUACCUAUAAGACUGGGAUAACUUCGGGAAACCGGAGCUAAUACCGGAUAAUAUAUUGAACCGCAUGGUUCAAUAGUGAAAGACGGUUUUGCUGUCACUUAUAGAUGGAUCCGCGCCGCAUUAGCUAGUUGGUAAGGUAACGGCUUACCAAGGCGACGAUACGUAGCCGACCUGAGAGGGUGGUCGGCCACACUGGAACUGAGACACGGUCCAGACUCCUACGGGAGGCAGCAGUAGGGAAUCUUCCGCAAUGGGCGAAAGCCUGACGGAGCAACGCCGCGUGAGUGAUGAAGGUCUUCGGAUCGUAAAACUCUGUUAUUAGGGAAGAACAAAUGUGUAAGUAACUAUGCACGUCUUGACGGUACCUAAUCAGAAAGCCACGGCUAACUACGUG
rnacentral:rRNA from 1 species